UCCAUUGACAGAAAGUGAGAGCCGAGCCAAAGAUAUAAGAAAACAUAGAGACGAACGAUGAGAGCUUGAAAGGCUUCCCUCUCAGUGCGACUGCGCCCUUAGGCUAUGUACAACAAAUCAGCCGGGAUCAUAUGUUUAAAUUAAGAGAAACACAGAAAAGAAACAGCAUGAAUGUCAGAAAGUAGAUAGAAGAUAACCCCAAUUACUCUUUAUGCCUGUUUCCAUUAUUUAUCGUUGUUUGUUUUGUGGUACAUUAUUUUCAAAAAAGCCGGUUACAUAGCAAUCAUAUGGUUAUCUAUCUAUCACACCGUUUGCUGUGUCUAUCUACUUGCAUAUGGCCUCCCGGUGUAUGUGCCCUUCCUUCAACCCUCUUUAGAAGGGGUGUAUCAGCUGUUCAACGAACAACAACGAGUUUUUCAAAGAAAUCGAAGAGGACUGUGAGGUGAAGGCAGGCAGGGGCAUUGGAAAAAUCGCUGUAAGUUUAGUCAGUAAUUAUUCUUCUUUCGUUUGGUAUUUGACUUUUUUCUAAGCAAGAUGGAAAUUGAAGGUUUUCCGAGAUGGGUGAAAAUCUGAAUUACUUUUCCAGGAGCGUCGGUGAUACUAAGAGAUUUACUGCCAGCUUGGCAUGCUUUAAGUUGUAUGGGUACGUGUGACAAAAUCCACUAACACACAUUAAAAUAACCAAACACUUUCGGCCCGGACCCGGACAGACCCGGUGUCUAUUUUAGCUGUGCAGCCCUAUGUGUGCAGCUGAAGCUCUUGCUGUUGCUGCACAAGCUACACUACAGCUACAGGCAGGCACUAAAUAGAGAGACGAUUUCAUUUUCAUGUGACUGCGACUUAUGUAAACGAAACGAACACCGCACCACCGCACCGGUCGGAACGAAAUAGCCGCAGACUCAUAAAAAGACACCACUCUGAGAAUUUUAGGCUUUGGAAAUGUUGUGUGAUUCGAAACAUCAUCUGGGAAUAAUCCAAGGAAUACUUAAGCAAGGAUGAUGGUGGCGACUACACGACGACGAACGGUGGGUUGUGUUAUGUUAAGGAAACGAUAACACGUGUUAGUUGAAAACACACAGCAGUGAUUUGUUGCAAAUGAGGAUGGACACAUAACAUCUUUAAUAUGGAAUCGUGAUUUUUGGGAAAAUAAGAGAUAAAUCAAGAAUCUGGGCUUUGGGAAUUGAUAGAUGCAAAACGUAACCAAAAGUAAAUGCUUACCAAAUGCAUAUUUGAGUAGUCUUACGAAAUAAAAGGGUUUCAUUUUAUUUAUUAUUAACAAUGUUUCUUUGUAAGUAGGUGCUCUCUUAACUUACGAAAUAUUCCCAACUCGAUUAUGAAACAUGAAUGAUUGGAAAAUAUAAAUAUAUGUUCGUAGUUUUUUUUGGCCUUAUUAUUGGA